AAAAUACACCAUCAAUUUGCAAUUAACAAAAACAACAAAAACACUGCACUGGGCAGGUUGUACAUUUGGCCCCUUAUCUUCACAAAAAUUUGACAAGGGUUUUAAAAGAGGAGAUAUAGCUGAUUUAGCACAAUUUUUAUAACAGUAGCACAUAGCAAGUUUAUAAAAUAAAAUACUAAAUUGCAAUGUGCAUGUAAAAAAUAAAUGUGAAAGUAAAAUAAUAGCAUGAACUUUGAAAGAAAUUG